rnacentral:rRNA from 1 species
UACGUAGGGUGCGAGCGUUAAUCGGAAUUACUGGGCGUAAAGCGUGCGUAGGCGGUCCGCGAAGUCUGAUGUGAAAGCCCCGGGCUCAACCUGGGAACUGCAUUGGAGACUAACGGGCUCGAGUGUGGCAGAGGGGGGUGGAAUUCCACGUGUAGCAGUGAAAUGCGUAGAGAUGUGGAGGAACACCGAUGGCGAAGGCAGCCCCCUGGGCUAACACUGACGCUCAGGCACGAAAGCGUGGGGAGCAAACAGG